ACCAAAUCAUAAGCAAGAGAAGUAGCUAGGAAAGAAAAAAUCACAGAAAGUUUCGGUUGAUGAGAAGAAACAUUUUUUCCCUAGUGAAUGGACUUGUUGGAGCGUUCUUGAAAAGCAGUAGGGAACGACGGGAGCUCCCGUUACAGAGUGCGGUCGUUGUUGGACGAUUAGAGUUGCUGUUUGCGAACAGUAAAAAGAGGUGGUACCGUGCUAUUUGCGCCCUCAAA
rfam:Enterococcus sp. 3H8_DIV0648 scaffold00002, whole genome shotgun sequence.